GGAAUUUUGGACAAUGGGCGCAAGCCUGAUCCAGCCAUGCCGCGUGUGUGAAGAAGGCCUUCGGGUUGUAAAGCACUUUCGGCCGGAACGAAAUCGCGCGGGUGAACAAUCCGCGUGGAUGACGGUACCGGAAGAAGAAGCACCGGCUAACUCCGUGCCAGCAGCCGCGGUAAUACGGAGGGUGCGAGCGUUAAUCGGAAUUACUGGGCGUAAAGCGCGCGUAGGCGGCUAAGUAAGCCGGUUGUGAAAGCCCCGGGCUCAACCUGGGAACGGCAUCCGGAACUGUUUAGCUAGAGUGCAGGAGAGGAAGGUAGAACUCCCGGUGUAGCGGUGAAAUGCGUAGAGAUCGGGAGGAAUACCAGUGGCGAAGGCGGCCUUCUGGACUGACACUGACGCUGAGGUGCGAAAGCGUGGGUAGCA
rnacentral:rRNA from 1 species